GCGGUGGUUGGUUCAGUGGUAGAAUGUUCGCCUGCCACGCGGGUUCGUUUGUUGGGUUCGAUUCCUGGCCGAUGCA
rnacentral:tRNA from 1 species